rnacentral:rRNA from 1 species
CGCUCGUAGUCGGAUUUCGGGGCGGGCCGACCGGUCUGCCGAUGGGUAUGCACUGGCCGGCGCGUCCUUCCACCCGGAGACCGCGCCUACUCUUAACUGAGCGGGCGCGGGAGACGGGUCUUUUACUUUGAAAAAAUCAGAGUGUUUCAAGCAGGCAGUCGCUCUUGCAUGGAUUAGCAUGGGAUAAUGAAAUAGGACUCUGGUGCUAUUUUGUUGGUUUCGAACACCGGAAUAAUGAUUAACAGGGACAGUCAGGGGCACUCGUAUUCCGCCGAGAGAGGUGAAAUUCUCAGACCAGCGGAAGACGAACCACUGCGAAAGCAUUUGCCAGGGAUGUUUUCACUGAUCAAGAACGAAAGUUAGGGGAUCGAAGACGAUCAGAUACCGUCGUAGUCUUAACCAUAAACCAUGCCGACUAGGGAAUGGAGGAUGUUCCAUUUGUGACUCCUUCAGCACCUUUCGGGAAACUAAAGUCUUUGGGUUCCGGGGGGAGUAUGGUCGCAAGGCUGAAACUUAAAGGAAUUGACGGAAGGGCACCACCAGGAGUGGAGCCUGCGGCUUAAUUUGACUCAACACGGGGAAACUUACCAGGUCCAGACAUUGUGAGGAUUGACAGAUUGAGAGCUCUUUCUUGAUUCGA